GGAAUAUUGGACAAUGGGCGAAAGCCUGAUCCAGCCAUGCCGCGUGUGUGAAGAAGGUCUUCGGAUUGUAAAGCACUUUAAGUUGGGAGGAAGGGCAGUAAAUUAAUACUUUGCUGUUUUGACGUUACCGACAGAAUAAGCACCGGCUAACUCUGUGCCAGCAGCCGCGGUAAUACAGAGGGUGCAAGCGUUAAUCGGAAUUACUGGGCGUAAAGCGCGCGUAGGUGGUUUGUUAAGUUGAAUGUGAAAUCCCCGGGCUCAACCUGGGAACUGCAUCCAAAACUGGCAAGCUAGAGUAGGGCAGAGGGUGGUGGAAUUUCCUGUGUAGCGGUGAAAUGCGUAGAUAUAGGAAGGAACACCAGUGGCGAAGGCGACCACCUGGGCUCAUACUGACACUGAGGUGCGAAAGCGUGGGGAGCAAACAGGAUUAGAUACCCUAG
rnacentral:rRNA from 1 species